UUUCGCAAUGCCCGAAAGGGUGACGAAGCGACGCCGCGUGCGGGAAGAAGGCCUUCGGGUUGUAAACCGCUGUCGGGAGUUAAGAAAUGUAAGGAUGUUAAUAGCAUCUUUGCUUGACUAAGGCUCCGGAGGAAGCCACGGCUAACUCUGUGCCAGCAGCCGCGGUAAUACAGAGGUGGCAAGCGUUGUUCGGAAUUAUUGGGCGUAAAGAGCACGUAGGCGGUUCUGCAAGUCGGCUGUGAAAGCCUUCCGCUCAACGGAAGAACAGCAGUUGAUACUACAGGACUAGAGUGCGGGAGGGGAGAGUGGAACUUCUGGUGGAGCGGUGAAAUGCGUAGAUAUCAGAAGGAACGCCGGCGGCGAAAGCGACUCUCUGGCCCGUAACUGACGCUGAGUGUGCGAAAGCUAGGGGAGCAAACGGGAUUAGAUACCCCGGUAGUCCUAGCCGUAAACGAUGGGCACUAAGUAGAGGGGUUUU
rnacentral:rRNA from 1 species